rnacentral:rRNA from 1 species
CAGUAGCCACGGUAAUACGGAGGGGGCUAGCGUUGUUCGGAAUUACUGGGCGUAAAGCGUACGUAGGCGGCUUUGUAAGUUAGAGGUGAAAGCCUGGUGCUCAACACCAGAACUGCCUUUAAGACUGCAUCGCUUGAACGUCGGAGAGGUGAGUGGAAUUCCGAGUGUAGAGGUGAAAUUCGUAGAUAUUCGGAAGAACACCAGUGGCGAAGGCGGCUCACUGGACGACUGUUGACGCUGAGGUACGAAAGCGUGGGGAGCAAACAGGAUUAGAGACCCGAGUAGUCCCUGUCUCUUAUAC